CGACGGCAUGCCCUACACGCUUCUUCGUGGGUUGGAACUAGCUUCGGCUUGUCGGUGGUCGGUUCGUCUGUGCUGCGUACCAUUCGCGAGGGCAUUCGGUUGGCUAAAACGGUCCCAUCUCCGCCUUGUGCCGGCGCCCGAGCGGGCGUGCGGCGCGGGGUGGAUCUCAAGGCGCACGUCGUGCUUCGCGCCGCAUUCACCGACGUCGGUGUUUGGGUAGGCGACGCACGACGUGCUGCCCGCGGUCUYGGGUUCGGAACAUCGGKUGGGUGCGAGGCAAUGGCCUCCGAUUGGCACVAUAAUGCGUUGUACGCAAGUUGCGAACGACGGCCGCGCUCGGCCUCCGGCGGGGCACUCGCUGCCCGGUCGAAGCCGUGCCGGCGUCGACGAGGGAUGCUACCUGGUUGAUCC
rnacentral:misc_RNA from 1 species